rnacentral:rRNA from 1 species
AGCACGUAGGUGGGUUUGUAAGUCAGGUGUGAAAGCCUUCUGUUCAAAGGAAGAACGGCAUCUGAAACUGCGAAUCUUGAGUGUAGGAGGGGAGAGUGGAACUUCUGGUGGAGCGGUGAAAUGCGUAGAUAUCAGAAGGAACGUCGGCGGCGAAAGCGACUCUCUGGCCUAUUACUGACACUGAGGUGCGAAAGUUAGGGGAGCAAACGGGAUUAGAUACCCCGGUAGUCCUAACCGUAAACGAUGGGCACUAAGUAGAGGGG